GAGCGCAAGGAGAGUUAAGAGACACAGAGACGGCGAUGGAGGAGGACGAAGGCAAAGGUCAUGAUCGGAGGUGCUUGGGUCACAUGCAAACCGAUUAACUUUGCAAGGUUUAUAUAUCUGCUCAAGCCCACCAAGAAGCAAAAAGAAAGGAGAACGGUAAGGUUUGAUUUGGAGGGAAGCGGACCAGUGAAGGCUAGUAGCUCGAAGGAUAAGGAGGUUGUUUGAGAAGAAGGUGAGCUGGUUGAAGAGCAGAGAUAGCUGUUAUAUUUUGUAAAUAUGUAGCAAAAUAUCUUAAUAAGUUUAUACU